AAAACGACUCUCGGCAACGGAUAUCUCGGCUCCCGCAUCGAUGAAGAACGUAGCGAAAUGCGAUACUUGGUGUGAAUUGCAGAAUCCCGUGAACCAUCGAGUCUUUGAACGCAAGUUGCGCCCCAAGCCUUCUGGCCGAGGGCACGUCUGCCUGGGUGUCACAA
rnacentral:rRNA from 1 species